CGGUUUGAAAGAGAGCCAAGCUCGGGUGGGUGUGCAACACGAAGGUUGCGAGGCUGAGAGUUCAGGAGUUGGCAUAGUAGUGCUCGCCCCAUUUAGAAAACACACUGCUCCAUUCAAUAAGGGAAAGAAUGCAAGCGUUUUUGACAAAAGCCAAGCACCCCAAUCGGGUGAGGAUGCGUAGGAGGCAAGGUUCAGGUUAGGGACGCCAAAAGCGAACGCAAUCGACCGAAGGCCGCACCACCAGCUGCCGAAUCACUCGCCCGUCACCCUUACUACCGCACCACCAGCUACCUAACCGACCCGCAGGGACCCCCAGCCGUCAACUGGUGCCCACGCGCUGCCGGACCACGAGCCGCCGGUGCCGCCGCCCCACUCGCGCCGCGCCGGAACUACAACCCUUCGCACCGAACACCACCAGCCGACCGACGUCGCCGUCAAGUCCACCAGGACCGCCGCCGUGAUACUCAUCACGAGCGCCGCCUUGACCUAGUUGGCACUGGUGAAGCAAGGUAGGUGGCCGGCCGACGGUGCCAACGAACGAGGUCAUGCACAACCACUCAAGUCAUAUCUAGAGAAGUUACGGAGGAGAUACCUACCCAACUACGGAACAUAAAGAAAACGGGGGUUUAGGGAUUAACCUAUCUCUAGAGAUAAAUUUGAGGCUCAGACUUCAGGGUGAGAUUAGUAACAAUACAAGAGAGAAGUGACAAACUUUCACCGUUAGAAGACCGUUAACCAACGGAGACUGAACAACAAUGUUUAACACAUAACAACACAAGUAUCGGACAACGUAAAACGUGAUACUAACCUUACACUUUAUAAACUGCCGUAACUUGUCAAUCAGUGAACGGUAGAAUCUGUAUCUGUCAAGACAAAACCCGUUCAACGAGUGUCGUCUGUCAACAAACUAAUUAAAAGAUUGGAUUAAUUAUGGUUACCCUAAUACACUACACCUCCAUAGAAUAUAUAGACAGGUUCUCGAGCGGAGCCGUAGGAGUGCUUGAGCUCUAGGGCUCAUUCUCUCGAAAGGGGUUACACACGUCGAUAACGAGUCGUACAUUUCUUCGAUUAACAACAAUUAUGUUAGUUAUAAAAACGACUAAAAAAACCCUCCCGUUUAGUAAUGCCGCGACUCGUCUACAGGUUAAACUAGAUAACUUCACCUAGUGCCAAGGAGGAAAUGACUACUUACAGCGUACAUCGGUGAUCUGAACCUGAGUUUACCUGCGGGACGGUCCUCUCGUGGCACCUCUUCUCGCGGUUCCACUUCCCCGUCAGGAACGUGUCUAACCACCGUCAAAGGCCCUGGACUUUGUGGGUGUAUAGCACAAAACUAAAGAACAAACUUUGAUGACCCGCAGGUAUAAUGAUUGUGAAGUGGUAGGUCACUUCUUACCCACCUGUUGAGAUUAUACUAAUUACAGUAGAAGGAACCCCGAAAAAAAAUGGUGACGGUAUCUGUUCACAAAUAAAUCAAGUACCAGUAUAAAUAAAUCAAGCACCGACUACCCUCGUACUCAUGGAAAGUUUGAUGACAAGGAGAAAAGCAGAAAUAUCAAAAACAACGAAUGUAAAACGGUACGUAGACACAGUCUCUUUGUACUGUGUCUUCAGUCCUCCUCGUUACUAUACACAUGUACAGUAACAACAGGUUCAAGACCUUGAAAAGGUGAUUAGCAACGACUUUGAUCCCAGUAGAUCUGCUCCCCUAACAUUUCCGAUUGAUCUUUAUGUAGAAACUUCUUUGAUAUCCCAGUAGGUCUACCCCUAAAACGUUGGAGAUAUGUUUACGGACGUCGAACCGGUCUGAUAACGGGUAGAGUUCUAACUGACCUCACAAGAUGAUGUCUUUCUAUCAAAAAAAAAUCUACGAUGAAACAGUUCGUCACAUAACUUAAACAACAUUUAACUGGAUCAAUACUUGAGUGUAGUAGAAACAAGUAACAUUUGGCUGGAUCAAUACAGUACUUUAGGUUC
rnacentral:rRNA from 1 species